GCCGCUGCCAAAACUGAGGUCUGAUGUGUGCUGUGUGUGCACUUCUGCAUAUGCUGCAUUUGCAUAUGUUAUUCCUGGUUUAAGGCUGAAUAAUGGAUUCAGGUUCUGAGCAGGAGCAACUCUACAGAAGUGAUUAGCCAGGCGAUGCUCAGUUCUGGGCUCAGAAAGUGAAGAGCGUCACCACCUAAAAAGCAAAGUAAAUUAAUUCCACGGUGUUAAAACUAAUUACAAGUAAACCCGAGAGAGCCAACGAUGGGAAUAAUGUGAAAUCCAGGAUUUGCUUCAGGAAGGGUCCACGGCGGAGAGGAGCCAGCAGCAAGGGUGGAAAUAAAAAGUAGAGCCCAAUCUGGACUGUCAGAAGUGUAAGACUCAUCCUAAACUGAAGAAGGAGCCAACAAACGUUGAAAGAAGACAGAGUGGGGCAUGAGCCUGGGGAUGCUAGCGGGAUCCUCUGGAGGACAGCCCGGAGAUGCAGGGACCAGACACAAGCCCACACAUCUGGAAGUCACUGCAGUGAUGUGAUCUAGAACAGAGGCUAAGAGCUUGGAGAGGAGCGACAGAGGCCAAGGUCAGGUGAGAGGUCUACCGACUAGAAGAGGGAGAGGAAGUCAGGACAAUGGACAGGGUCACGGCAGCGCGCCUGAGGCGUCUGGGGCGCAUCUUGCUUAUUAAACAGUGAUGCAAGGACCUGGCUAUUUCUGCCAGAAGCUCCGUGGGUGAGUCCACCAAACUGCUGGGGUGGAGAACCACUGACGUUUGGGGCCAAGGUGGCUGAAGUGGGCUCUGAACUGAGGCAAAGAGCAGGGAAGAAGAGGUCAUUGGAGGAAGCCUGCUGGGCUGAGUUUGCAGUGCCUCCAGCACGUCCUUCUGGAGAGGUUGGUUCAUCCACACCUGUUCAUCCACAAGAGUGGAGGAGCCACCUUCACCAGGAAGAGCUUCUGUCAAGGUAGAGAUGGCAUCUGUCCUAGGAAGCUCAGGCUGCUGUGAAAAAAUACCAGACACCAAGUGGCUUAAAAAGCAGGCAUCUCUUUCCUUAGAGUCCUGAGGCCCUGCAGUUCAAGAUCAAGAUGUGCUCAUAGCUGCUGUCUACGGAGACCCCUCUCCCUGGCUUGCGGGCGGUGAUUUCUUGCUGUGCCCUCACGUGCCCGCAUUCCUGGCGUCUCUUUUUGUCCUAAUCUCCCCUUCUUAUGAGGACAUCCUUCGGAUCAGAUUAGGGCCCACCCUGAUGGCCUCAUUUUAGCUUAAUCGUGUUCUUAAAGGUCUUAUCUCUAAAUACAGUCCAUUCUGAGAUACCAGGUGUUGAAGUGGGGAGGCAUAUAAUUCAGCUGUAAAAGCAUCUUCGUGGUGAUGGGCAAAUGUCAGCUUUGCCCAUUGAGCCCUGAAGGAACCACCGGUCCACAGGUCCCAUCUGAUAAGGAGACCUUCUAGUUUGGGGGCGAGGGGGUGGGUCUUGCUGGGUUAACCUCCCUGUAGCCCACCUCCCCCAGACCAUGGAUGGAUCGAUGCUUGCUGUGUGUCUGAUGAACCAUCUCAUUUCAUCCUCACACCAGCCAGCAUGCACUAUCUGGCAUCACUCUCUCUGUUUCUAAGAUGAAAACAGGUUUGGCAUGAAGGUGUGACCUGCUAGAGGUCCCCCUGCGGGGAGACCUUGACCUUGGUUCAUCUGGACUCUCCAGAGCCCAUGACCUUAACCCCGUACCGUACAGCUUCUCCUCGAAUUAUUUGAACCAGAAUUUCUUUGGCUUAGAAACAUCUCUGAUUCUUUUAGAACUAAAAGUUCUUAAGAAUUCACAGGUCAAGAAGGUGACCUUCCGUCAAAGGUUUCAAACUGUUUCUUAUCCCUGUGACUCUGAAAACCCUUCACAAUGUCGUAGAUGUGACGAUGGGUGGCUGGGACGUUCUCUGGUUGGCCUCACAGCAGGAUCAUUCCCGGUCUUCUCAGGAGCCCCAACAGCAGGAGAGAGAAGCAAAGGAGAGAUAAUGGCCCCAGGGGCGGCACGGAAAAGAGGCGGCAAUGACCGGGGAAGGGUAUUUUGAUUUCUGUCUCCCAGCAACACCCAGGGGACUGUUCCAGAGAAUGAACUGAGGUGAGUAAGUUAUGUGGUCCAGGAGUUGCAAAAGUGGUCCAUGCCUGGUGGUGCUGGCAUAGACGUUGAGGGGAGUAGAGAAAUCUCUCUGGGCAUCACAGCAUGGACGUGGGGCAAACAGAGCAUCCAAGGAGUCAACACAAACAUCUAUAUAUUUUUUUAAUUUUUUUGUCUUUUUCAGGCCACUCUUGCAGCAUAUGGAAGUUCCCAGGCUAAGGAUCAAAUCAAAGCUGCAGCUGUCUGCCGAUACCACAGCCACAGCAACACCAGAUCCAAGUGUCAUCUGCGACCUACACCACAGCUCAUGGCAACACCGGAUCCUUAACCCACUGAGCAAGGCCACAGAUCAAACCUGCAUCGUCAUGGAUACUAGACGGGCUUGUUACCGCUGAGUCACAAUAGAGCCUCCCAAACAUCCUUAUCUUGGUCACCAGCAGCCAGUCACUUUCAACCAUAGAACUGACCCCUUGGUGGAAGACGGAUGGUUUGCCAACUUCAUAUAAGAGACAUCACUACUGGAGUUCCCUGGUGGCCUAGCGGGUUAAGGAUCCAACGUUGUCACUGCGGUGGCAUGUGUUUGAUCCCUGGCCAAGGAACUUCUGCAUGCUGUGGGGGCAGCCAAAUGAGAAAAAAAAAAAAAAAAAAAA
rnacentral:lncRNA from 1 species